UACGUAGGGUGCAAGCGUUGUCCGGAAUUAUUGGGCGUAAAGAGCUCGUAGGCGGUUUGUUGCGUCGGCUGUGAAAUCCCGAGGCUCAACCUCGGGUCUGCAGUCGAUACGAGCAAACUAGAGUGUUGCAGGGGAGACUGGAAUUCCUGGUGUAGCGGUGAAAUGCGCAGAUAUCGGGAGGAACACCAAUGGCGAAGGCAGCUCGCUGGGACGGUACUGACGCUAAGGCGCGAAAGCGUGGGGAGCGAACAGG
rnacentral:rRNA from 1 species